GCCGGGCAUGGUGGCUCAUGCCUGUAAUCCCAGCACUUUGGGAGGCUGAGGCAGGAGGAUCUCUUGAGGCCAGGAGUUCUAAACCAGCCUGGUCAACAUAGUGAGACCCCAUCUCUA
ensembl:misc_RNA Metazoa_SRP Metazoan signal recognition particle RNA